rnacentral:rRNA from 1 species
UACGUAGGGGGCGAGCGUUGUCCGGAAUCAUUGGGCGUAAAGCGCAGGUAGGAGGUUUGGUAAGUCUGUUGUGAAAGCUCCCGGCUUAACUGGGAGAGGUCAACGGAAACUACUAGGCUAGAGUGCGGUAGAGGUAGCUGGAAUUCCCGGUGUAGCGGUGAAAUGCGUAGAUAUCGGGAGGAAUACCUAUGGCGAAAGCAGGCUACUGGACCGUCACUGACUCUGAUCUGCGAAAGCUAGGGGAGCAAACAGG